AUAGAGAGGAUCUGGAUUGAUUGCAAAGUCAUUAGGUCUCUCUCUGUGACUCUGUCUCACUCGCUACGACAAAUGGAAGAAGAAAGAUUGAAAAUUUCUCAGCUUUUUGUGGGAGUUCGUAACCUUUCAAAAGUGAUGAUGAUGAUGAUGAAGAAGAUGAGUCUUCUCCGUCUCUGACUCUUGAGGAGCCUUUGACUGACUCCAACUGUUCUCAGCUUGUUGGAAUGAGUCUGAACCAUCUAUGAAACUCCACAUGUCGAGAUCUAACUCAAAAGCAAAGGAAGACAUAGAAGCAUUAGGGGAUGACUCUUGAGAGGUCUCUUCUUCGUUCAGAGAACCUUUUGAACCCGCUUCUUCGGUAUUAAGGAAACCAAGUGUCAAAAUUGAAACUUUCGAGUCACACAAGGUAUGAACAAGAAGAUAGAACACAUACUUGUUCCCAAAGCUCUGGUGAAGUUU